rnacentral:lncRNA from 1 species
GGUGUGCAUACAGAAGGGUGGCAAAUCGCUUUCUACCACUGUAUCUUUUGUUCAGGUAACAUAAUACACGCAUAUUUAGUUUUUUUAACACUUCGGGUGUUAAAGUGCUGUAUAUGUAAUAUGAAUUGACCUGCACCCAUUCUACAACUCCUAAUAAUUCCAAUGAUAAUCACGUUGUUAUUUUUUUUUUCCUAGUUAAAAGGAUAGUAUGGCGAAUCUAGAUGUUAAAAUUUGUAACGUACAGAAGUGAUCAGAGACAGAAAACCAACACUCAUGCGCAGAUGGACACAAACACUCCUGAAACGCACCCAUUUUCCACUCUCACCCUUUUCUGACUGCUAUAGUAGUAUCCGUUUUUUUUUCCUUUCUUUAUGGUUUCACUAUAUUCUUUUACAGGUAUUUAAUCUUUUUUUUACUUUAGAUAUGUCUUUCUUCUUUAAUAACUUUUUUUUCUCUUCUAUGACAUUUUGCCAUCUGUCUUAUUUACUUACCCUAUAGGAAAGUAUCCACCUCCCUGUAGUGUUUUUCUGGUUUUAUUACAUUUUUUCUUGGUUUAUCACGGGCCUCCCUUACUUCCAGUCGCUUCUUUGUCUGCAAUUUAAAAUGAAUAUGACAUUUAAUGUCAUACUAUAGUUACCAGAACAAUUACAGCUCAAUGUAGUUGUUCUGGUGUCUGUAGCCCGUCCCUGUUGGUUUUUAACCGUUUAACCCUUUAAGGACGGAGCCAAAUGUACACGUUGUGAACGAAACAAAAUGUAAACAAAACCUGGCUUUUGCGCUACAUGUCUGUCCAACCGUAAUUCACCUCUUUCAUAUUAAAUGCACCCACCCUUAUUAUAUAUCAUUUUAUUCAGGGGAAACAGGGCUUUCAUUUAAUAUCAAAUAUUUAGCUAUGAAACAUAAUUUAAUAUGAAAAAAAUGCGAGAAAAUAAGAAUUUUUAAAAAAAUUUUAGUUCUACAUGACAUUUUAACUGUCAAUGUCAUAAUACUGUUUGCGUUUACUGCGAUAAAAUACACAUAUUUGUAUUCAGCAAAGUCUCACGUGUAAAACAGUACCCCCUAUGUACAGGUUUUAUGGCGUUUUGGUAAGUUACAGGGUCAAAUAUAGCACGUUACAUUUGAAAUUGAAAUUCGCCAGAUUGGUUACGUUGCCUUUGGGACUUUAUAGUAGCCCAGGAAUUAAAUUUACACCCAUAAUGACAUACCAUUUGCAAUAGUAGACAACCCAAGGUAUUGCAAAUGGGGUAUGUCCAGUCUUUUUUAGUAGCCAUUUGGUCACAAACAUAGGGGUAAUUUUCAUUCUUGGGCUACCAUAGGGUCUCAUAGGCACAGUAACCAAUCUGGCGAAUUUUAAUGUGAAAAAAAUGAAACGCAAGUGUCACGAGCGUGGGCUAUAGGCCCAGCCGAGACAGUGGGGAGAGUGUGGAAGUGACAGGGUUAAUGACACCAGACCCUUGGUUACCUGUUGCUAGUCCCAGCAACCACUCAAUUAACCCCUGCAAUCCCUUCUACACUAUCCCCCUUAGUACUAUUGCCACCACCAAGACUUUUAAACCCGGGUGUCUUAGGUUACCCCACACACAGGAGAAUUAUAGUAUCACAGUUCUACUUUUACUGAUAAAACAUAUAUAGUUAACCCCUUUUGGUAACGUGUUUACCUGAGCUUUCCUCUGGAGAGUGAAGCUCAUAGAGAACAGAGACACAAGCUGAUUAAGUAAACAUUUAAUCUGACAAAAAGGAUUCACAGUGCUGAAUACAAAAUACAGAAAUAAAUGAAAUACAGAUAACAAAUUGCAAAACAGUACAUAAAAUAAAAUAGGAGAAAACACAAGAAAUUCCUUACAUAUAUUUACCCCAUAUAGAAUUCUUGUGGGAGUCUUAGAUGGUAUAGGUCUCCUAGAAGUUACUGACAAAAGAAAAAUGAAUAACUGACUUUCCUGGAUAGUCCAACACCCUCAUAUAUCUAAGCUAGUUGUUUCUCAGUGGGCAGACACCUGGGGGGGGGAUCAGAGGGGGUUGGUCUGGCAGUCUAUUGCCCACUCUAUGAAAUUCCUUGUGUCCAGCUCUGGUGAUGGCUAUCUAGAUGUUUUAUGGUCUAGGCCUGGUGCAAGAUCAAAGACCAUAAUAAACGUCAUCCCAAGGUUUACAAAAAAACAACUCUUAACAUAUAUAAACACACAUCAAACACCAACUCAUGCUUUUGGCAUGACAGCAAGCCUUAUAUUUGACGCUGUAACUUUUGAAAACACCAUAAAACCUGUACAUGAGGGGUACUGUUGUACUCGGGAGACUCUGCUGAACACAAAUAUUUGUGUUUCAAAACAGCAAAAAGUAUCACAGCAAAAAACUGCACUUUUACUGGCGAUAUCAUCGUUGUAAUACAUUUUACUGUUUUGAAACACUAAUAUUUGUGUUCAGCGAAGUCUCCCGAGUAGAACAGUACCCCCAAUGUACAGGUUUUAUGGUGUCUUGGAAAGUUAUAGGGUUAAAUAUAGUGCUAGCAAAUUAAAUUCCCUUUACUUUCGGCAUGGGUUGUCAUGCAGGUCCCGCUAAUUGUAAUUAAUUAAGAUACCUAAUUAUGUAAAAAUAUUACAUAAAUAUAUAUGUAGAAUUAAUAUAUGUGUGUGUGUGUGUGUGUGUAUAUAUAUAUAUAUAUAUAUAUAUAUGUAUGUGAAUCUAUAUGUGUAUAUAUAUAAAUUUUUAAAAAUAUUUUUAUUUAUAUAUAGGUAUAUAUAUAGUGAUAUAUACGUAUAGAUUUAUGUAUGUAGAUAUAUAUAUUAUUUAGUUCUAUGUGUAUUUUGAUAUAUAUAUAUAUAUAUAUAUUAUCACAAUACAGUUAGAACGAAAUAACACACAUCUAUAUAUUUUUUAAUAAUUUUUUAAAUAUUUUUAAUUUUAUUUUUUAAUGUAUUUACAUAUUUAACUUUUUUAUAUUAUAUAUAAAUAUAUAUAUAUAUAUAUAACAAUAAUUAUAUAUAUUUAAUCAGUAUCAGUCUACGUGUAAUUUGAUAUUAAUAUAUAUAUAUAUAUAUUAAUAGUAAAAUACACGUAGACAGUGUAUGUGUGUGUAUGUAUAUGUGUGUGUGUAUAUAUAUAUAUAUAUAUAUAUAUAUAUAUAUAUAUAUAUAUAUAUAUAUAUAUAUAUAUAUACUUAGAUCAUAUAUAUAUAUAUAUUUUUUUUUAGACUUUUUUUAUCAUUUAUUUAUUUUAUUUUCAGCCAGCAGGGGGACCACCUGUAAUUACAGGCAGCCCCUCUGCUGGCAAUGCAGGAGGCAGCCUACCCGGCCAUGUGAUUGUGAGGUCCUCGCAAGGAGGAUCUACCGCGGGGGGGUUCCCUGGGAGUCCCCCCACCGCGAUCGCCGGCGUGGGACCGCCGGCGACCGGGUAAGUAAGAAAAGACCGUAGGGCGUACAAUUACGCCCGGCGGCGUUUAGAGCCGCCUAAAAUAGGGCAUAAUGGUACGCCCUCCGGUCUUAAGGGGUUAAAGAGGUGGUCCAAAACGCAGCCACGUGGCAUAACAUCUCAUCGCCGUCUUCGAUACUCAUCUGCAUGCCAGCAGUUCCAAGCUAGAGAUCGCACUGGGGGAACUUGCCUGACAACCCAGGCAGUCCCCCUAUGGACAGGCUGACUAGAUUUUGAAAACAAUAAACCGGGACACCCAUUAGAAAUACAAAAAUCUCUAGAGAAAUACAUACACAUUAGAAGUCUUUAACCUAUUCCUGGCCGCAAGUGACUGUUACAGCUCAUCCCCUUCCUGGUACUCAAAUGAGUCUCUUUUAAUUUACAUUUUGUAGGAGCAUGAUCAGAGCACACACAUACCCUAGACCAGGGCCAUCUUAACAGCAUAAUAGACCCCUGGGAAGAGCUUAUAUUUAUUGGUACCUCCAACAAAUACAAUACAUACACAUACUGCUGAAUACACACACACAUAUAGACAUGCACAAUACAGAUUGCUGUGUGCACCCACAGACAGACUGCUGUAUGCACAGAAAGACAGACUGCUGAAUAUAGAAAUAAAGAAUAUGGAACCUCCAAUGGCGCUAGAGAGUUGCUGGCAAUCCCUCUAUGGGAAUUAAGCACUCAAUUAGACCAAAUCAGUACAAGUACAAAAAAACCCCACAAAACAGUGGGUGUCGCACUCUACAUGCAAUCUUAACAAAAGUGCAAGUGCAGAACAUAUAUGUGUUAUAGUAAUAAAUGUGUUUAUACCGUAAUAAGGUUUGGUUCCACAAGUGGCUGUUAGGAAUAAAUAAACUUGACAUAGAGUAGUACAGUCAAGGAGUACCAAAUAUGAGGUAUGUUACAAAAUUUAUAUAUUCACAUCCCACUCACGUUGUUUUGAGCCUGUGUAAACUGGCUCAAGUAAAAUCACUUUUGGAGUGGUAAUGGUAUUUUCAAAUUGAAGAUCUGGCAGUUGACCUCACUCCAAACAUAUGAAAAUGGAAAUGCACCAGAUUAAAUUCAAACAUGUAGUUUAUUUGACAAAAAAUAAGUAAAGUCUUACAUAGAAGUACAAUAUCUUUAGCCACAAUGUCCUUUUUUUUUAACACAACGUGUUGUGUGUGUGUGUUGGGCGAGAUUGGGAUGUAGUUUGUGUGUAGGGGGCGAGAUUGGGAUGUAGUGUGUGUGUGUGUGUAGGGGGCGUGAUAGGGAUGUAGUGUGUGUGGGUGGGGGCAGGAUAGGGAUGUAGUAUGUGUGGGUGGGGGCAGUAUAGGAUGUAGUGUGUGUGCGGGGGGUCAGUAUAGGGAUGUAGUGUGUGUGCGGGGGGGCAGUAUAGGGAUGUAGUGUGUGUGCGGGGGGGCAGUAUAGGGAUGUAGUGUGUGUGGGGGGCAGUAUAGGGAUGUGGUUUUGUAGCAGGAUAGGGCUGUGGUGUGGGUGUGUGUGGGGCGGCAGGGUAGGGAUGUGGUGUGUGGGGCGGCAGCGACUUCCUCAGGUACAUAGACUGUCCUGCAGUGAGUAAAUGUUUUUUAAACCCAUUUUUCCCACCAAAAUCUGCAUUUUUAGCUCCACCCAUCCAUGCAAAAUUACUUCCUUGAGAGGGGACGUCCUAUUUGCAUCAUUUUGGGCACCAAAAAGGCGGCCGCAAGGACGCAUAACGUCACUUCCGGUUCCAUCGGAUGCGUUCCAUCAGCCAUAUCCGAAUCGCAUAUGCAUUCCAAUUAUAUUGAAAGUGUCCUCUAGGCUCCCAUCUUCCACAGUUUCUUUCUCCAAAGCAAAAUAAAGGUGUUCAAAGGACCGUUUUGGUUGUGGGUGGGUAGUCCUAAAGGGGAUUGGUUAGAAAAUGAAAUCCAGUUGCCAUAUUGCAAAGUCUUAGUGGACCUAUUUUUAUUCUGCAUUUAAUGAUUUUAGGUUGUAGUAUGUAUCAGUUAUAACAUGUGCAUAUUAUAUACUUAUUUAAUUUUAUAUAUAUAAUAGGAUAAGGAUAAGUGCACUUUUAUUGAUGAGAUCAUCAUUGUGAUAUGUUCAGGGCCAUCUUUAAGGAGGGGCAAAAGGGGCAGCUGCCCCGGGCCCAGUUACUCCUGGGGGCCCUAAGGCAGCUGCCCCAUGGGCCCUCUGCGGCACCUGAGGUAAUCAGGGGCCACAGCCCUUUAAUACUGCUCUGGACCGGCCCGAGCCCCUGUUAUAUGGGGGGUGGCUGACUACAUACUCACAGCUAGCCCCCUCACAUACUUCCCUGUGAGUCUCUUUGUUUCCUGGGCAUGCUGGGAGGAAGUGAGGUCAGAUUGCUUCCUCCCAGUAAGAACUGAUCACUUCCUUCUCAGUGCCGCUGGGGAGGAGGCACACACCACAUGGAGGAGGAUGCAAGCAUUGUGGGGGAGAGGGACUGAGAAAGCUGAUGGCAGACUCCCAUCAGCCUGGGCCAGCAAGCUCUCACUGGACACCAGGGAAGCCACCUUUCUGUACCCAAAAUGUAAGGAGACAGGAGGGUGGCUAAAUAUGUUUUGUUUUUUGUUUUGCUAAUUUCUGAUAUCACUUUUAUUUAAGUGUGUUGGUGUUUGUAAUGUAACACACAGGGAAUAAGUACAUGUUAAAAAUCCUAGAAGAACCUGACAGUUCCCUAUUAAAUAUAAAUUUAAAAAGUAUUUAUUUUAACAUAUUAUUGCAUCAAGUGUUAUCAAAGGCUGUAUACCAUUUCCAAAUGUCACUUUUGCCAAAUUCUGGACCAGGGUAUGUAAGAACAGAGUUGAGACAUUAUAUUGACCAAGGUUACUGGGAGUUGCUGUCCAAGAGCUGCUAGAAGGCAGAGAUUAAAAUAUGUAAAUGUACACAUAUAUAUGUAUCUGGCUGUGUUUAUGUCCUUGUGUGUAUCUGGCUGUGUUUGUCUGUGUGUCAGUGUUUCUGUGUGUGUGUAUACCUCAUACACCUGUAUGUGCACCUGUGUGUGUGUGUUUCGGUGUGUGUGUAAGUGUGCAUCUGAGUGUGUGGUAAUGCAUACAUCCCAGCAUUUCAAUGCCAACACAAAUACAUUCCUACAUUCCAUCUCUAGCACUGUACACAUAUACACCCCUGCAUUUAUACCUUUAUGUAUGUGUGUAUCUGAGUGUGUGUGUAUAUACCUGUGUCAGUGUGUGUGUGUGUAUGUGCCAGUGUGUGUUUAUCAAAGUGCUUGUAUCUGUGUGUCAAAGGGUGUGUAUCUGAGUGUGUGUGUAUGUGUAUGUGCCAGUAUGUGUCAAGGUGUGAGCAUGUGUCAGUGUGAGCAUGUGUGUAUCUGCGUGUUAAUGUGUAUGUGUAUAUGUGUUAUAGAAAUCACACAACAUGCAAACAGACCCCUGCAAACACAAACAUUACAAACACACCAGUUUGCUGAAACACUAAUACUACACACAAAUGUACACAUGUAUUUAAAAGACAACACUACAUCCAAACACCCCCUGCAUGCAAAUACAAACAUUACAUGCAAACACAUUCCUGUAUUAAAACGCUAAAAUUAUAUACAAACACCAACUCUACACACAAAAGUACACCUGCAUUUAAAAGCCAACACUACACACAAUCACACAUCCCUGCAUUAAAAUGCAAACACUACACACAAGUACACCACUGCAUUCCAAUGGUAACAGUACAUACAAAUACACUCCUACAUGCACACAUACACUCUAUACAAUAACAUGCUGACAUUCAUUUGCACAAACACUGCUCAAAAAUACAACCCUGCAAGGAUAGUAGAUCCCCAGCUGGCAUAGCAUCGCAGGAGUUGUAUGACAGAUGGGGAUCUAUCUUUUCUUUACUCUUGUGCUACAGGGCAGGCCUGAAUUUUUUUCACCUGUAUGUGCACCUGUGUGUGUGUGUUUCGGUGUGUGUGUAAGUGUGCAUCUGAGUGUGUGGUAAUGCAUACAUCCCAGCAUUUCAAUGCCAACACAAAUACAUUCCUACAUUCCAUCUCUAGCACUGUACACAUAUACACCCCUGCAUUUAUACCUUUAUGUAUGUGUGUAUCUGAGUGUGUGUGUAUAUACCUGUGUCAGUGUGUGUGUGUGUAUGUGCCAGUGUGUGUUUAUCAAAGUGCUUGUAUCUGUGUGUCAAAGGGUGUGUAUCUGAGUGUGUGUGUAUGUGUAUGUGCCAGUAUGUGUCAAGGUGUGAGCAUGUGUCAGUGUGAGCAUGUGUGUAUCUGCGUGUUAAUGUGUAUGUGUAUAUGUGUUAUAGAAAUCACACAACAUGCAAACAGACCCCUGCAAACACAAACAUUACAAACACACCAGUUUGCUGAAACACUAAUACUACACACAAAUGUACACAUGUAUUUAAAAGACAACACUACAUCCAAACACCCCCUGCAUGCAAAUACAAACAUUACAUGCAAACACAUUCCUGUAUUAAAACGCUAAAAUUAUAUACAAACACCAACUCUACACACAAAAGUACACCUGCAUUUAAAAGCCAACACUACACACAAUCACACAUCCCUGCAUUAAAAUGCAAACACUACACACAAGUACACCACUGCAUUCCAAUGGUAACAGUACAUACAAAUACACUCCUACAUGCACACAUACACUCUAUACAAUAACAUGCUGACAUUCAUUUGCACAAACACUGCUCAAAAAUACAACCCUGCAAGGAUAGUAGAUCCCCAGCUGGCAUAGCAUCGCAGGAGUUGUAUGACAGAUGGGGAUCUAUCUUUUCUUUACUCUUGUGCUACAGGGCAGGCCUGAAUUUUUUUUUUGUUGCACCAAGGCACUCUCUACAUUGGUUUCACCUCUAGGUUGGGGUGGAGGGAGUGAUUGCAUGCCCAGGGGGCCCAAACAGAUGCUUGCCCGGGGUCCAAUCAAUAUUAAAGACGGCCCUGGAUAUGUUUUACAGUUCUCAAACACUAAUAUUUGUGUUCCACAAAGUCUCCCGAGUACAACAGUAACCCCAACCCCCAUGUACAGGUUUUAUGGUGUUUUGGAAAGUUACAGGGUUAAAUAUAGGGCUUGCAAAUUGUAAUUUGUAAAAUCACAUAAUUAUGUAAAAAAAUCAGAUACAUAUACAUGUAGAAUUUAAAUAUAUAUAUUAUAUAAACACACACACUGUUAAAGUAGAGAUUGUAGCCGUAUUAGUCCAGUGAUGCAGAUGUAAAAAAAAAACACAAAACAAAACCAAAACAGAUAAAAUUCGUAUCUUGUAAUUCCUUUUUUUUUAAUUUUUUUUUUAUUGGACCAAAGCAAAAAAAAAAAAACACACACACACACACACACACACACACUUUGUGCUUGUAAUUUCUAAUACGUAAUGGAAUGUAGAAGGAGAUGCAAAGUUGGUUGAGGUGUGCCGAAAUAAUAAAAAGAGGGCAAAAAGAGGAUUCAAAGUAAGCACACUUUAUUGCAAGGUUACUGAAGGCUCGUCUGAGCUCCCUCUCUGGUCGGGGGAUAUACCAUAUUUAUCGGCGUAUAACGCACUUUUUCUCCCAGAAAAUUAUGGGUGCGUGUUAUACGCCGGCCCUUUAAAUACUGCAGCCGCCUGAGCGCUCUGUCAAGAGCGGUCAGGCGGCUGCAGUUGGUUCUCACCUCUCCUGUAGCGUGGCCGAGCUGCUCUGCUGUCCGCGGUGGCCGGCCGGAGUGAUAGGAAGGUGCACGCUCAGUGUGCACCUUCCUGUCAGUCCGACCUGGUACAGGAAACAGAAACUCCUGUUCCGCGCGGAACAGGAGUUUCUGUUUCCUGUACCCGGUCGGACUGACAGGAAGGUGCACACUGAGCAUGCACCUUCCUAUCACUCCGGCCGGGCACCGAGGACAGCAGAGCAGCUCGGCCACGCUACAGGGGAGGGGGGUAAGAAGAGGGGGGGUAAGAAGAGGGGGGGGUGCAAGAAGAGGGGGGAGUAAGAAGAGGGGGGAGGGGGCAAGAAAUGGGUAACAGAGGGGAGAGGUGAGAGGGAGGGGGAGAGCGGUGGAGUAAAGUGAGGGAGGGGUAGUAAGAAAUGGGAUGAGGAGGAGGUAAGGAGAGUAAGAAAGGGGGUUAAGAAGAGGGGGGGGAGUAAGAAGGUAAGAAGAGGGGAGGGAAGUAAGAAAGGGGGGUAAGAAGAGGGGAGGGGGAGUAAGAAAGGGGGUAAGAGGGGGAAGUAAGAAGAGGGGGAGGGGGGAGUAAGAAAGGGGGUAAGAAGAGGGGGAAGGGGGAAUAAGAAGGGGGUAAGAAGUUCUUUAUUUGAAAUUUAAAGGACCACUCUAGGCACCCAGACCACUUCAGCUUAAUGAAGUGGUCUGGGUGCCAGGUCCCUCUAGGAUUAACCCUUUUUUUUUUUUUUUAAACAUAGCAGUUUCAGAGAAACUGCUAUGUUUAUACUGAGGGUUAAUCCAGCCUCCAGAACCUCUAGUGGCUGUCUCAUUGACAGCCGCUAGAGGCGCUUGCGUGCUUCUCACUGUGAAAAUCACAGUGAGAGCAUGCAAGCGUCCAUAGGAAAGCAUUGUAAAUGCUUUCCUAUGCGACCGGCUGAAUGCGUGCGCGGCUCCUGCUGCGCAUGCGCAUUCAGCCGAUGACGUAGCGAGCAAGGAGGAGAGAAGGAGUACAGUUCCCCGCCCGGCGUUGGAGAAAGGUUAGUGUUUAACCCCUUCCUCUCUCCAGAGCCCGGCGGGAGGGGGACCCUGAGGGUGGGGGCACCCUCAGGGCACUAUAGUGCCAGGAAAACGAGUAUGUUUUCCUGGCACUAUAGUGGUCCUUUAAGUUUUUUUUUCCUGAAAUUUCUUUCUUAAAAUGAGGUGCGUGUUAUACGCCGGUGCGUGUUAUACGCCGAUAAAUACGGUAAGUAAAUAAGUUGAGGAUUUCCAGCGUUCCAGUCUCUCAGUGACGUGGACCGGGGUGUUAGAGCUUUAAGCCGAUACAGAACGAGCGACCAGAGAAGGAAACCAGGUUGUAGCCUGUGGCAGAACCAACCUCGCCACUGGGCAUUGGAGAAGCCUGUUUGUCCGCCUCCUGCCUUCUGACUAUGUCCCCUGGGAGACUUUGCCCUGUGUAAGCAUUAUUUUGAAUACAUGGCGAUUUGACUGUGUUUGUGGGAUCUGAGCGCUGUUCGGAUAUAGUGAGCACUCAGAUCCAAGCUAUCUGGGGAUAGGUGAAUGUGGGGGCUCUGUUCAGUAUGAUAGGAAUUGUGUGUUUUUGCUGUUGUUGUAAAUGGAGAUAUUUUCUGUAUGCUGGAGAUAAUUGGCUUACCACACCCAAGCCAUGCUUGCAGUCGGUCAAAUAGGUCUUCCAUCUAUCUUUUGAACCACUGGACCAAUUUGUAUGAUUUUGACACGUUUGUAUUUGGAGUAUGCUGAUUCUGAAAAUGUAAGUUUAUAUGAAUGUGAUGUAUACUUUUAAAGUUAUGAAUAUUGUGUAAAACUGUGUAUUUUCCUAUCACAGGCAGAGGGGAGGAUUUCUGCUGGAUAUGGGAGUGUUUAGCUGUGUUGUAAUGUAUUUAUUGGUUUGUUCUUCAAAACCCUGUGGGCGGUACUAUGUUUGUAAAAUGGGCAUAAAAGCAGAGUGUUUGAUUAAAAGUUUCAGUUCUACUUCACCCUCAAUUUGGAGUGCUGUCUCUUAUUGGAGGAAUCUGCUACAAGGGAUUGCUAUGCUCUGCAUAUUCCCUUGAUAUAAUCACUCCUAAGCUCUUUUCAGAGCUUGUUCCUGCUUCACUCUGAAGGAAGAGAGGUUCGGUCUGCGGUGGUUGUGGUGUCGUCUAGAGGGCUUAGAGCCCUCAGGAAGCGCCAGGAGCAUCCUUAAAAGGAGGUAUCCAGUCGGGGUGCUAGGUGAUCCGUUACAUAGCCCAACUUUGAUGGUAGGGUUUUGUUGUGAGAAAUUAAUUUAGCUGAUAGUGAGUGCGAGCCCCUGGAGUAGUAAUAGUAGAGUGUCAGUGUAGGCGGUUUAAGAAAGGUGAGUGAUUAGGGCAGGUUGUGAGGACGUGGUGUUGAACCCUCGGUAAAGGUAGAGUUCAUGGAAUUGUGUGAUAAUUUAAGGUGUAGGUGAGAGGAGGAGGCAAAAAGAAAACCACCAUAAUUUUAAUGGCAAAGUCUCCUUGUAAGUAAAACUCUGCAGUGAAUUAGUUAAAAAUAGUCAGUGUCCUAGCGUUAGUGUUGUUGGGUAAAAAAAUGGGUGAUGCGUGAGUGCCUGUGCGUGGUGUAAUUGUGCGCUUAUUCCAGGAUUUGCUCAUGGAAUGGUGGUAUCCUGGAUGGUAGGUGGUGGCCAUAGGGAGUGCCUGGAAGAAGACCUGAAAUUAAGAGCGUGACAGAGCAUCAGCGGCUGUGUUGUGGACACCAGGAAAAUGAAUGCAGACUAGAUGGAAACGAGAGGUAGCUGCCAGCCAAGUCAGCUUGCGAAUCAGCCUCAUAAUGAUUAACGAGGAUGACCGCCCCUUGUCAAAGAUUUCACAAGCUGCUGAGUUGUCUGAGUAGCAUUUUUUACUGCCUUGCCGGUCCAGAGAUGUGUGGGCGGCUGCCAUGAUGUGGUAGAUCUCAAACAAUGUGGAUGACUCUCUAAAGGCCGGCAAGGCAUCCGUCUCAGUGGGCCAGUGAUCCCUAAACCAGUGGUUGCUGAAAAUGGCUGUGAACCCUGUGUGUGCUGCUGCAUCUGUGUAAAUUGUAGGUGAGCUCUGAAAGUGGAUGAAAGAACAAAGAGACCCCGUUCCAUACGACCAAGAAUAUACUCCACAUGUGUAAAUCUGCCCUGGCCGGAUCGUCCAGAAUGAUUGGGCAGGAGUUGGGCACCCCUUGGAGCAAAUUUAAGUAGCCCAGAGACAAAAAGACCUACUCUGUGGAAUGAUACGCAUCGCAAAGUUAAGGGACCCAAAUAAGGACUGGAGGCCCCUCCUUUGCGCACGCAACACUCCGCAGGAACAGGACAACUUUGUCCCUAAUGUGAGUCAAUUACCCUGGUGGUGGACUGGCUGGGAAAGUAGUGGUGUCCAAGACUAUGCCCGAGAAACCGAGCUUGGUAGAGGGAGUUUGCUCGGUGACAGAGGGACCCCGAGUGUGGUAAAAAGGGGGCUUGUGUUGUGAAUACUGCUGGGUGUUUUUUGAUCCCGGUUUCAUCGACAUAAAUCGUCCAGAUAGUGGAUAACUGAUGGAUACCUGAUUAUGUUUAGGCGCAGCCAGCAGAGGGUUUCUGCGAAGAUGACAAAUAACUUUGGGAUGCUCAUGGAGCUGAACGUGAACCUGGUUGAAAAAGUACUUAUUUCUCCAUUUAACACCGUGUAAGUGUCAUAGUGUAGGGUGAAUGGGUAGUUUAAAGGUGUUGGAUUAUGUCUGUCUUGCUUAACCAUGCCUUACUACCUGUUGAAAUAAUAGCUUGCAUGGCAUCUUACGUUUUUUUGGCAUAUUGCAGUGAGAACUCCUCAGCGGGUAUGAGAGAGUUGAUGCUAGGAAUGGAGAAAGAAAGUGGCGCAGAUAGGUCUAUAAUGAAAAAAACGUUUUAUUGGAGAAUUUGUGAAUGGCUACCCCGAUGGGGUUGGUACGCAAAUAUGAGAAUGAUAAAGACAAGAAAGGGACGAUCAUGAAACGAGCCUUGAUUACUGUGGACAGAAGGUGGUCCACCGUAAGUGGAUCAUUGGAUGCAGGUAAUAGGUUAGGGCAUCGAGUGUACCUGUGGGGAUGGCGAUAAAGCCUGGGUGAAACCCCUGUGAAAAACCUGUCACCAGAAAAUCUACCAGAUGCCUAGCUGGGUGUGAAUGCAGAUAGUAAUCCAGUAUGUCCAUGUUACCUCGGUUAGUCGUAACUUAGAUGACAGUUGGGCCGAGCACAUAGACUUGGUGUGAGCUCUGAAGCAAAUAGAGCAGAUGUGCAACAACCUGCACGCAGUGAAACUGCAUGCCCCUGCAUUAACGUUAUUGCACAUCUGCAACCUGCCCAGGAAUGAAAUGGUCUGCCCAGCUUGUCCGUCUGCCCACCUUCCUGUCUUGUGUGUGGGGUGGAGUGGUGAGAAGUGGAAGUGGACUUCCCACUUCACCGAUGCGUGCCCUUGCAAGGGCACGCAUCGGUGAAGUGGGAAGUGGAAGAACAGGAGGCUUAGGACGAGGGCCUUAAACCGGCAAAGUGACGGCAAGACAUUUCUGUGUCCAUCUGACACCAGUCAUUUCUUAUGUUGAACUGUGCCAGAUGAGUAGCAGCCCUGGCCGAUGGAUGACUUAUGAUAGUCAUGGAAUGAGUACCCUCCGUACUUAAUGCCUAAGUCAACUACCUUGUGCAUGUACGAGUUGAGCUCUACCCUCCUAUGUGGGUACCGUGCGGAAUGUGAACCCUUGUGAACUAGUGCCUGGCCUGAGAUUGUUGGCCUGUGCCGUCAUGUAUAAUUCUUCCUUUCUAGAGGUAGCUGGAAAGGGUAUACUCUUGAGACUGAGCUCUGCUGAUAUUUUGGAAUAGCUCAAUAUCUCAGGGAUCUGAGGGUAGAAGAGGGUGAGGGAUUCCUCUGGAGACCAGGGCCUGACUGGCGUGUUGGGUAUUUCAUCCAAUGGCAGAUCGAUGAUUGGGAUGGAUUCUUGUGACAUUCUCAAAAUGGAACAUUGAUUUGGAUAAGUAGGGUGUUAUGAAGGUGGGGGAUGAGACCUUCGGAGAACUGGCUUGCUAACUAGUGCCGAGGCGAAGAAUUUAACUAGAACCAAGUGACAGGUGAGGCCCUGCUAGUGCCAAGUGGCACAACCUAUGAUUUUGGCCGAGGGGAUUCAUGGCUACUUGAAUGUGGUGGCAGGAUGUUGGCCUCUCGGUGACCGUAAGAGAUUCAAAACGUGUGGCUGUGACUUGGGAAGCCCUAGCUGUAGCCCUAAAGAAGGGCGAGCGAGGUGGCUAACUAUGAUUUGGUCGUGGGGCUGAAUCUUCGUGUUGAGGUGGGGUGUAGACCUUGCAGGACCGGUGUAUUACUUAGGACAGCUAAGGCCAGCGCCUAACCCUAAAUGCCAGUUCUCUAACCUGGGAUUGUCUUCUUGAAUGAUGUACUUGAACGUAUGUAGAUACUAACCUUGAGUAUUGGUCCUAUUGCUUUGAUACUGUAACGUAAGAACCCGUGUAAGAUGAGGGACCUGAACAUUGGUCUGUAAUUAGAGACAAGCCCCUGGGUAUCCACAAUUGUGAAUUUAAAUGAUAAGAAGGCCAAGUGAGGCCUUUAGGAGAAACAUAAUCAUAGUGAGUAAGAUUUAACAAUACCUGAUGCUGAAAUACAGGAUACCAGGUGGGCUGUUAGUUGUUGAUGGCGUAGAACUUGGCGAGACUGCGGUAUUGGCGCAGAUCUAAGUAAUGAAAUGUAGAAACGAAAGACAAGCAAUGUAUCAUUACAAUUAGUAGUAGCAAAGUGGUGUUGGUUUAGGAGGUGAUUGUCGUUGAAAUCGUAGUGCAGGGUCUUUGCCGUAGCUCGAUUUAGAAGUUUAGAACCCACCUGGAGUGGGGAGGGGGAGAGGGUGGAGGCUAAAUGAGGCCGUGGAGGCUGGAUGAGACCUCAGGGGAAGACAAAAUCAACUGGAAAAAAAAACAACUGGUAAACCUUCUUAUCUGAUACAGUAAUACAGGAUACUGGGAUUACACUUCCUGGAGACUGUUAGAAGGAAGUGUAGUAGAGCCUAAAAACAUAUGCAUACUAAGUAUAACGAACCAGUAUAUGAGGUUUUAGGAAACAGAGAUUUGCAAUGGACUGUAAGGAGCCUGGUGAAAAAAUUAGGGGAAGUUAAUACAUUUAUAAUAUGAGAGACUAAGUUCCAGCGGGUGUAAAUAAUGGUACUGAGUGGUGUAUUUAGUAUACCUUACUUAUUUUGUGAUUAUGGCCUGACCGUGCCUUUAAAAAGAUUUCCCCUGUGUAAAAAUUAAGUGUCCCGUAAAUUAAUAUGACCAUCGCCGAGGAAUAGUGAAAAACAGAUGAAAUAUAUAUUCGCCAGUAGUAACUGAUGAGCCAUAUGCUUAACACAUUAAAAUAUAGGAUUCUGGGAAAGUGAAAGGUGAGUUCUUUCGUUUAAACAAAUGACAUGAUGAAAUACAUUAAACGACAGAUUAGUGACUUUAGACAUUGAAGCCUCCUGCGUUCGGCUAAACGAAGGAACAGAAAGGACUGUGAGCAGAAAAGAAAAUACCUGCGGUCGGUUAAUGGACCGCACAAAAGAAUAAACGAAAGCCAUGUACAAAGCGGUCGACUGUUUAAUCAUACGAAUUAAUAGAUGAACGUGAGUAUGUUAGAUUGCAGUCGGCAGUUUAGUUAUGCCAAAGAACAAAGCAAAGGUAUGGAUCAACAGCAAAAAACUAAUUUGAGGUAGGCUGCACUUGAUGGACGCAAGUCUCUUUUCAGCUAUGUAACUAUGUAACUAUGUGUACUCUGUGGUUGGAUGUUAGCCGCACGAACUGCAGAAAUACACGAACGGAUGAAUAUGCAUGAACGGGUAAGUAUUGUUAUGGAUCAAAUCAAGUGUUUGAUUAUGUGACUAUCUGCUCCUGUUCCAGUUUAUUGAAAUUGAGUGCGUGCACGCUUCCUAGAGUAAUUUCAGACCGGACACAAGUUUCAGGUUCAUGAAAAACUUCAGGAAUGUUUAAUCAGGGGGCGGGGAGCCCCUUAUGAAGACAGAAAUAUGUCACAUGCAUAAUUAUAGAUAACAGGGAAAAUACAUCAACAAUUAGUCACACUUUAAGGAGUCUCAUCUAAUUCCAUCCUACUGGGCGUGAUGUCAUUACUAACAUGGAGCUCUCCUCCACCAUCUUGUUACACAAGAUAGUGGUUGAUGGAGCAGUUACUGAACAAAGGAAGGGAGGGGUUAGAGGGGAAACAGCUACUGAACACAGGAGGGAAGGGGUAGGAGGAGAAGCAGUUACUCUAACAGCCAGGUUAACACAGUGAAUAAUGAGCACAGAUGCACAGAGUAAAUAGACAUUUUACUAAUUCUAAUAUUUUGUCCAUAACAAAGGAGCCUAUCUCUGCAUUUUUAGGCCCGAACGUGGGAAAUAGCUGAAUGCUAUUUCCCACGUUAUGCUUACGUGGACAUGCCGGUCUCGUAACAGAAGCCUGGUAGAGAUGUCGGUAAGAAGCCGGUUGGCAGGCACGGAGGUCGGAGGCAGGAGAGCUGCUGGCGACUAGCUGCUGCUGGAGGCAGGAAAUUUGGCGGGAACUACGGACCGGAAGUGCUGCGACAAACAGCUUGAACUUUAAAGGUGAGUAGGGGGGUAGGAGUUUAUAAAGGGGACAUAACUCCUCCCACAAAUACAGGCCUAAUGGCCUUUUAACAUUUCAUUAUUUUUGACAUGCAUGAGAGUGAGCACUUCCCUUCAGUCCGCCGGCGGCCGGGAACAGGAAACAGAGGUUCCUGUCCCGCGUUCCGCGCCCCCCGGCCACGCUACAUAGACAGGAGGGUAAGGACCACAGGGGGAGGGGAAGGAUCACUGGGGAAGGACCACUGGGAGGGAAGGAACACUGGGAGGGGGAAGGACCACUGGGGAAAGGACCACUGGGAGGGGAGAAGGAUCACUGGGGAAAGGACCACUGGAGGGAAAGGACCACUGGGAGGGGGAAGGACCACUGGGAGGGGAAGGAUCACUGGGGAAAGGACCACUGGAAGGGAAGGACCACUGGGAGGGGGCAGAAGGAUCACUGGGAAAGGACCACUGGGGGGAACCACUGGGAGGGCAGAAGGAUCACUGGGGAAAGGACCACUGGGUGGGGAAAGGACCACUGGGAGAGGGAGAAGGAUCACUGGGGGGGAAAGGACCACUGGGGAGGGAGAAGGACCACUGGGAGGAGAGGGAAGGAUCACUGGGGGGGGGGAUCACUGGGGAAAGGACCACUGGGGAUGGGGAAAGGACCACUGGGGGAUGAGGGGGAAAGGACCCACUGGGGAUGAGGGGAGGCCACUGGGGAGGGAGGAUGGGGAGUUAGGGCCACUGGGGAAGGGGAGUAAGGGCCACUGAGGGAGGAGGGGGGGUCCAUUAAGGGGUUUGGAAGAGGGAGGCCCACCAAACCCCUUUGGUGGGCCUCCGGGCCUCCCUCUCCCAAACCCCUUAAUGGACCCCCCCUCCUCCCUCAGUGGCCCUUACUCCCCUAAGUAGGGAUGACCACUAAGGAGAGGGGGGGAGGGUAAGGACCACUAAGGGGGGGGGGAAAUAGGAUAAUGACCACUGAGGGGAGGAGAUUACCACUAAGGGGGUGGGGGAGGAGGGGAAUGUCUACUAAGGGGUUUGGGAGAGGGAGGACCACUAAGGGGAUGGAUGGAUGGAGGACCACUAAGGGGGAGAGGGGGGAGUGAGAAGACCACCAAGGGGGGAUUACAGGGGGCCAAGGGAGAGCACUAAAGGACAGAAGGGGAGAACACGGAGGGACAGGAGGGAAGGGGAAAUCAAUAAUUGACAGGAGGGGAGAGCACUAUGAAAAAAAUAGAGUUGCUCCCCUCUCAGUCCCUAUCCUACCCCACAAACCUUCUCUUUUACACUACACACAUACACAAUGCAUCCCCCCCCCUCACACACACAGAAACAUACAAUGCAUUCCUACUCACACACAGACACACCCGAAACACACAAUGCAUCCCUUACGUUCACACAAACACUCAUUCUCUUACACACAGAAACAAAAUGCAUCUCUUACACAAUCAAUGCACCCCUUACAGACACACACUGCAUUCAAUUAAAUACACAGAAACACACCUUGCACCCCUUACACACACACACCCAGAAACAUACAAUGCAUUCCUUACACUGCACAUACACACACUACAUCCCUUACAGAAAUUGGUAUCCCUAUACACUACAUUCUAUAAGAACACACACACAUUGCAUCCUCUACAAUAACACAUAAAACAUCCCCUACACUCAUACACUCCACUUCCUGUGAGAGAACUCAUGGGUGGGCCAUGUAGCUGAAUUUAUGGGUGGGCAUUGUAGGCAUACUCACGGUCAAGCCCUGGGGGCCCAGACCUUGAGCUCUGUAAGGGGCCCUAAAAUGGAGCUGCUUCCUGUUCGUUAAUUGUUGUGAGCACUGUUACAAACAGUCUCCAGAGAGCCUUUUCUACACUAGACCUGUGGAGCCAGACUGAGUCCAUCAUCAGCCUCUUGUCCUCAUCUGGUGGUAAGUAGGCAAUCCAAUAUAUUAUUAGUGGUACUAAUCUCUAAUUUACCUCACAUUAAAUGGAUACUAUAGUCACCAGAAGCACUACAGCAUAAUGUAGUGGUUCUGGUGUCUAUAGCAUAGCCUGUGCCUGUAGGCUUUUUAAUGUAAACACACUGUCUUUUCAGAUAAAAGACACUUUGUGAAGACUGGCGUUCGCCCAUAUGGCAGAGCAUAUGGGCAGGGCAUUGUGAUGUCACAUGAUGGGCAGGACAUAUGGGGGGGCGGCCAAACAUUUUUUUUGCCUAGGGCGGCAAAAAUCCUUGCACCGGCCCUGCCAGCGUGGGUAGGAGAAGGCGAGACCCCAACCAAGUUGCGGUGGUUCGUGGGGUCUGCAGGGCUUAUGGUGUCUAGUGAAGUGCUUGGAGCCCUCGGGAAGCAGUAGGAGCAUCCGUCAACCGAGGUACCCAGUCGGAGUGCCAGGCGAUCCGUUACAAGCACUAUUAACCUAAAGAAUUAUUUUUUUGGGGAACUAAGCUAUAUGGGAACUAAGCUAUAUGUAAAUAAGAUGAAACUGAUUAGGUAACAUGAUAGGAAAAACAUUAAUACCGCUGGGUACUAGAAAAUAAAACAUGAAGUGAAGCAGUGAUAAGACAUAAGGUUUACAAAAUAUACUGCGCAAACUCACUUUGUGUGUCAAAAAGGCAGAAAAAACACUUAUUACCACUACACUUGGUACAAGCUAGCGGAAAAAUGGUCCCACGCUAAGGUUCAAAAUAUGCCUUUUGAAAUACCCUGGGAUGUCUUUUUUUAAGAAAUGAUAUGGCUUUAUGGGGUAUUUGGAUUAUAUAGCCUGGUAAAAUACUCUAAAAUGGGACAUGGGCACAGCGUAAAAAUUUUAAGUUUGAAAAAAAAUGGAAUGGCUGUGUCCCAAACGUGCCCCUCCGAUGUACACAUAUACCUGGCAAAGGUACAAACGGGGGUAUUGCUGUACUCAGCCGACAUAGCUGAGCAACAUAUGAAGUAUUAUACAGUGGUAGCACACAUAAGGAUUGGAUUGCAAAAUAUACUGUGCAAACUCACUUUGUGUGUCAAAAAGGCAGAAAAAACGCUUAUUAACACUACACAAAUGAUCCCACGCUAAGGUUCAAAAUAUACCUUUUGAAAUACCCUGGGGUGCCUACUUUAAGAAAUGGUAGGCCUUUGUGGGGUAGUUUGAAUUUAAAAUUUGCGAAGAUUUCUUGGAAAUUGCACAUAGGCCCAGCGUCAAAAUUCAAAGUUCCGUAAAAACUGAUAUGGCUUGGUCUCCUAUAUGGCACUGUAGCUUCACGAAAUAGUGCCAAAGAUAUUCAUUGAGGGUGUCUUUUUACUCAGAAGACUUAGCUGAGCAUAAUUUUGGGGGUUUGAACUUAGGGUCAUAUAUACAGCUUAUCCUUUUAUACUUUUUCACAUUGAAAUUUGUCAGAUUAGUUUGCUGUGUCUAGGCUGCCUUUGAGACCGCAUGGCAGCCAAGAAAUGAAAAUUACCCCCCAUCAUGGCAUACCAUUUGAAAAAAUAGAUAUCCCAGGGUAUUCAAAAUGGGGUAUGCCCAGUCUUUUGUAGAAGCCACUGGGUCACAAACCCUAGCCAAAUUUAGCAUUUGUUUUUUUUUGUGUGCAUAUUUCACAUAAAAUCUGUACUUUCACUGAUAAUAUUAUUGUUAGUAUAUAGUUAACUGCCCUGAAAUACUCCUAGUUCUGUUCAGUGAUGUCUCACGAGCACCAUGUUAAUCCCAUGUAUAGGUUUUAUGGGGUUUUGGAAAGUUACAGGGUCAUAUAUAUGGCUUACCCAUUUAUCCUUUUUUACAUUGAAAUUUGGCAAAGUGAUUUUCUGGGGCUAUAUCGCAUUUGAGAGAGCAUGGCAGCCUGGGUAAAAACAUUUCUACAAUUAUUAUGGCAUACCAUUUUCAAAAGUAGGCAACCCAGAGUAUAACAAAUGGUGCAUUUUAAGAUGUUUGGUAUAACCACUUUAUCAGAAAUGAAGGGCCCACUUAGCGGUUAUAGUUUUAUUUGUGCUUUUUCACACACAUGCACUCCCUUUUCACAGGACAUUUCACAUUCCUGAUAUGAGUUAUUGCAACAAAGCCUCACUAUUUGUAUUUAACAUUGUCUCCUGAAUGUAACAGUACUCCCAUGUACUAGAUUUUCUGUUUUUGGGGAAGUCACUGGGACAAAAAUAUUAGAUGUCCUUUUCAAAGUUGGCAAUUUGACAAAGUGAUUUUCUGGGUCUAUCUCGCCUUUGAGAGAGCAUGGCAGCCUGGGUAAUAACAUUUCCACUAUUAUGGCAUACCAUUUUCAAACGUAGGCAACCCAGAGUAUAUGAAAUGGUGCAUUGUAAGAUGUUUGGUCUAACCACUCUAUCAGAAAUGAAGGGCCCACAUAGCGGUUAUUGCUUUAUUUGUGCUUUUUCACACACAUGAACUCACUUUUCACAGGACAUUUCAUAUUCCUGAUAUGGGUUAUUGCAAGAAAGCCUCACUAUUUGUAUUUAAAAUUGUCUCCUGAAUGUAACAGUACCCCAAUGUGUAACAGUGUAAGCAUGCAGAAGCCAAACACAGAGAGAUGGACACAUGUAUUCAGGAAGUAAGAGGCCUUUAUUCACAUUACCGAUCGGGUCUCAGAUGAACUCCUGUUCCAAAAAGAUCUGAGGGACAAAUACAUGGUGUACAGAAUUUUUGUUAACAGCAUAUCCCCUCCCAUACAGUAUAACCCCUCCUAUAUUCCUCAGACCAAUCAGCACACAGGAUAUUCAGGAUCACCUUAUUUGGCAGACCACAUGGCUUGUUGAAGACAAAGGAUUUUACUAUCCACUUCCACACAUGCUCAGUACACUGAUGACUCAUCCAACUGUUUGUAAUCAGAUACUAAUUAGCAUAUGCCAUGUGGAGAUUUUGGCAUACUAAAUUUUGACCAUGCUGGAAUCCCAUCACAUUCCCCCCUUUGAUGCUUCUGAUAUAACAUUAUUCCAGAUGCAUCACUAAUCGUAAUCUACCAACACCCCUCAAGUAACCAUGAACCAGUGCAGACCUUGUAAUCAUUCUAACUUAACUUUGUGCUCUCUCAACAUUCCUCAUCCCGAUUAUUCUCUCUGUGGGCUAGUGGUUCAUACUUCCAGACAGCCAUUACAUGGGCAGCUGUCUCUCUUUCUAUAGUGCUCUCUAUAACACUACGUAUAGAUCUGACCACUAGUGGGAGUAGACAGGGCAGGAGGAAGCAUAAGAAAUAUAAUAAAUUCUACUCCUCCUACUAGUGCCUUAAUCCCUCCAAGCUGCUCAUACCAACUUCCAAACCAACUACUUGGGUUAUACCCACUCCAGACCUGAGUAAGUACAUGCACAAGUUUAACCAUGUGACUGGUAAGUUCAGCCACUGCCUGCCCUUCAUCAUCUAUGUGCAGACAACAGUUACUUAGAUUAAACUUCCCGCAUACACCUCCUUCUACUGCUAGUAAGUAAUCAAGGGCUAGCCUAUUCUGGUAUAUGGCUGAUCGCAUCCGGGUAUUCUGCUUUGCUAAGAGGUAGAGUGCUUGCGCUGUCUCAUUGGUGAUAAUCUCAAUUACCGCCUGUAGUCUUGUAAUACGAUUGAGCAUAUAUAUUGGAGUUCUAUAUCCAUAAGUACCAUCUUCUGCCCAAGUAGCAGGUCCAUAAUAAUUAAUAAUACGUUGGGGAGGCCACUAAUCAUCUUCCCAGCUACCUAUAUUCAAAGAUACUCGCUUCCUUUUUGAUUUACAUCAUAAGCCUUAACUCCCAAGGUCUCUCCUGUUUCGAUUGGCAACAAGAAGGAUGGUUUGAGCAUACCUAGCACACAUGCCCCUUCCUAGUCUUGUGGUAACUCUAAAUAUGCCUUUUUACCACAAAUCCAGUAUAGAUUUCCUAUUGGAUGUAGCAGAUAAAUCAAACCAUACCUCUUUCAAAUUAGUGUAAUUGGCAAACGGAUUAGUAGGUUCCGAGACAUUUGAAGCUGACCACCAAGUAGUAUCUUUUGUAUCAGCAUUAUAGGCCUUCUGUCCUAAGCAGGUUAACUCUCCGACAGGUGUAUUAUACAUUGGCCCUCUUCUAGCUAAACAUACAUGACCUAUGAUAGAUGUUUUUAACUGCCACUCUGAUUUACCUCUGGUACUUACUUGAUGAUCAGACUGAGAAAGUAUCUGUUGUUCAUCUGUCUCAGAACCAGGGUACCAUGCUUCCUUUGCUUCCCAUAUUAGUACCGCCACAUACAAAGCAGUUAGUUAUAUUAAGACUACCUGCAAUACUCUCAGCCAAAUCAAUAAAUAGGUUCUUAACAUAAUUGGGAAUUUUAUCCUCAAUACGCAUCUCCUCAUAGAAGGAGUGAAAAAUCUAAUGAGUCUGGGUUGCUACUGUCUCCAUUUCGAUGCCUACAUAUAUAAUAGCCCCAGUAUCCAACCCUGUUCCGUAUAUUUGGAACCCAAAUAGAUUUCCAAACUUGUCAGUAAAGUGCUGCAGAUUGGAAAUGGUCAUGUGAACGGGGUUACACUCCAUAGUUUUACAAUACGGUGUAGUGGGCAACCUUUGGAUAAUCAUAUCUUGAUCUACUGUCUUUCCCCAGGUCGCCCAACCUACACAUGACCAAUAGGGGUCUCAAUUUGGGCAGUCAGGAGCAGUAGAUCUUUUGCUAGGGCAUAAAUAUUUAUUGUCAAACCCAUAAGUCCGUUCCCAUUUCAGAUUACCACAUAAACCACAUAAAUUUGAUGCACCUUACAUGCAUCAAAUAAGAGAAUACCCGUGCAAUAUAUGGUGCUCAUCACAGUCCUAUUUAUUAAUGUCACCUGGGAGUUACUAUUCCGAAUUACCAACCAAAUUGUACGGGGUUGGAAUUGGGGAUCAAAACAUUUAGGCUCUCCUACUGCUGGGUGACACACACUGUAAUCAAUAUCUACAUUUAGAUACAGAUCCCUUACAUUCAUACUCUGAGUGCCAAAUAAGAGUUUGGGACAUUUGAUUACCUGUUUUUGUAGUCUUAAUACAACUAACACAGCUUUGAAUAUCCUUAACUUUGCCCUCCUGAAAAAUUAUAAAAAUACUAAACCAUGUAAUUAAGCACAUCAUUCUUGUGGUCCUCAUCUUAUUCUUCUACCGUGCGACGGCACCUCAGCUUCACGGUUGUGAGGGCUGCAAGGAUUGUUGUCCUUCUGAUCCUCACUUUCCUUCACAGAGAUCUCUUCGAGACACUCUGGCUUAUGACACGUAGGCAGGUGGUCAGGCUUUAUUAUGGCCGUCAAAACACCUACUUGAUGAUCUCUGUAGACCUUUAACUAGAAUGUCUCGAUAUCCCCUCGUACUUUUUCUCACGACACGUUCAAUCCAACUGGGUAAUGCGCUUCAACCGGAUCUUGCAAGGAUUCUCAGGAUCUGGAGUAGCUUGCCGAGAGUCUGCCGCUGGUUUAACCUUAGAGUGAUGAAUCCAAGGAGUCACUUCCGCCACCUUUACAGGUGUUGGGGUAGAUGAAAGAACAACAUACAAAGGCUAACAGGAUACACCCCGAGCUCUAACUCAAUAUGUAUCGAUGGGAUGUUACAAGCAAGUCCUGGAGGAUUAUUUUCUACCCAUACUCCUGGAAUGUCAAAUAAAGUUCCAUCGAUCUUAGGGUUUGCAUUUGUUAUUACAGAACAGAAGCACCAUUCUCCUUCCCUUGGCACCGAUAUCGCCAUUAUGCCAGGUGAUUUAUUAAACUUCAGAGACUUUGAUCCAUUAGGUAGAAACGUUAUCUGAGCUUGAAGUUUUGAUAAUAAAUGUUGUCCUAGAAGUUGGAUUGGACACUCAGGCAUAUGUAGGAAUUGGUGCUUCACAAAAUGGCCUCCUAGAAUGCAAGUACGACUCCUGAGAAUCGGUCUAGCAGCGCUUUUCCCAGUAGCUCCUAUCACAGUUAUAAUCUUCUCAGAAGGAGGAGCUACCAAUUUGGUCACCACAGAAUGUUCAGCACGUCUAUCAUGAAAGGACUUCUCUUUCCCCCUAUUGAUGCAUCGGCCAUAGGCUCUGCUCGGCCAAGUGGGAUGGAGCCCGGUCGGUAUCAAUAGUCUUCCAUGACAGUGUCAGCCAGACCUACAAAAUCUCUAUCUUCCCUAUCCCUUGAUCUCUGGGUAGGGGGAUAAUAUCUCCCUCAAAAACGUCCUCUACCUUGUCCUCUAUAGCUGCUACCAUAACCACCUCGCCCUCUUCUCGUCUACCACCUGAAAUAGCUACCACUAACAUGUCUAUUUUCUUCCUCAUCUUAUGUUCCUCCUCACGCUUUCUUUCAGUUUCCCUAUUCAUAUACACCUUAUUUGCAACUGCCAUUAGCUGUGAUAUAGAUAUCCCUGCAAAUCCCUCUAAUUUUUGUAGCUUUCUCUUAAUAUUGCUCUGGGCCUGGCUGACAAAUGCUGAGUCUAUCAUUCGGAAGUUUUCAGGGGCUUCAGGAUUGAAAGGAGUGUGCAAUCUAUUUGACUCAAGCAGUCUCUCAUAAAAGCACUGGGUGAUUCAUUAGCUUUUUGUAACACUUCAGCCGUCCUGGACAUGUUAAUUGCCUUUUUCCCAACUGCCUUCAUGCCAGUAAUAAUGGCUUGUUGAUAGGCCUUUAGAUGGAUCAAGUCAGCGUCAUUUACACUCUAAAGGUCAGUAAUAAUUGCUGACAAUCAGCCCAAGUGGGAUUAUGGGUCUGUAUAAUAGAGGUGGCCAAGUCAAUCAUGGCCUGAGGUUUAUUGGUGUACGAGGAGUUAUGGGUCUUCCAAUUAAACAAGUCGGAUGUGGUAAAAGGGACUUAAACAAAUACAGGAUAUGCCAACUGCAACUGUCCAUUAAUGUCAAUAUGUGGUGGGCCAGGUGUAAGUCGGAGGGACAUUUGGUAAUAUCGGGGUUGGAGGUUACCAGUCAGUUGUCGGGUUAGUAUGGGACUUCGGCAAGGCUGCUCAGUAAUAGGUCUGGGAGUAGUAAGAUAGGUGUAAGGGGGUGAGCUAAUUUUACUAGUCAGCAUUUGGUGGAUGAAUACAAAAUGAAGAAAACUUAACUUUUAAUAUAUUUAUACAUAAAAUAAAAACUUAUAUCAAUUAUUAUAUUAAAAUAGGGUAAGCAGUCCUACUCCUAUUUGUUAUAAACAAUGUAUUAUCAAUGUAACUCUCGAAGAUGGCCAGUAGGUGGCCCUAGAGUGCCUCGCUAAAGUCUAAUGAAACAGAUAGACUUUAAUUAAUUAUGUCCUUAUUUUAUUAUUACUUAUUUUAAUCACUGUCCACCCUGAUGUCUAGGCUUGAUUAAAGCUUUAGUUCCAAGGUAAAUUAAACAUCUCAGUUUGUAUUUUAGUAAAGGGGAUAUUUUGGACAAAGCUGGGAGGGGCCCAUUCAGUAACUAAAAAAAGGAUAAUAUACCUAUAAUAUAGGGGUGUAGUACAGAAAUACAAGAGUUUAAAACAAAAUUACAGAUAGGUAUGUGGGUAGGCAGGGGCAAUAGAGCAGGGGGAGUGCAAAUACCAACUAUACCAGUUUUAACUUGGGAGGAAGAGUGGAGGAAUGGCUACUCUGGCUCUGGAGGAUGAAUAGGGGGUUGGUAAUCAGAUGCAAGGGGGGGAGGGGAUGUCCAAAGCAGUUGUAAUUAAGUCCUUAGUUCUGACCACCAUGUGGCUCCAUUGUNNNNNNNNNNNNNNNNNNNNNNNNNNNNNNNNNNNNNNNNNNNNNNNNNNNNNNNNNNNNNNNNNNNNNNNNNNNNNNNNNNNNNNNNNNNNNNNNNNNNUCCUCAUAUGACAGUUUAAUUCACCAAGGCAGUUUUUCAACAAUCAGUUUCCAACAGUCAACGUAUGGAAACUGAUCAUAAAAUUCCGGCCUACUAGUUACAGCCACAUGUACACCCUGCACUAAAUUUAAGUCAAGACUGCCACAUGGAGGCCAUGCGGCCACCAGGACAGGCCACUCCCUAAUACACAGGUUUUUUUUUUUGUUUGUUUGUUUAAACAUACAAGACAAAGGGCCAACAGCCUUGUGAAUCAGAAGAUUAUUUCAACAGAACGUCUGAUUCAAAAGCUGUACAAAUAUGAACACAGUUUCAACAGUCACACCAAUCUCCUUAUCACCAGCACCACAUCGCACAGUUACUAGGCCCAAACACACACGUAGAAAAUGAUCAGAGUAGGAUCAGCGCUGGUAGUGCCACAGUAAAUAUACUGUAAAAAGGCAGCACACCUAAAAGGUGUAACCCUCCUAUCCCCUAAGGCUAAAACAGAAAUAGAAAAAUCAAAGGGAAUAGAGCGCGCCUUUAAUAAAAAUAUAUAAAAUAUAUCAAUAAAAACGUACAGUAAAAAAGGGAAUAAAAAGAGUCCAGAUAUUGUAUUCCACAGAUAUAUAGGGAGUGUUCUUGUAACGUGAUGUGGUAUCGUCCCGGAUGAUGACUUUCAAUAUUUUCAAUGGGUAAUACGUAAGGAAAUAAGAGGAACAGCCAAUGGUACAGUAUGUCUGUAUAGGUGGAUAUAUAUAAAAGAAUAAAUGGAAUUACUUACAAUUUCCAGAGCUAAAAUCCAGCUCUGGUAUGAAGUGCGUGAAUUGGAAUGAUCCCCACUCAAGGAUAUAAGCAGCCGUUUCUUGAAGAUUGGAUGAUUCACCAAGGAGUCCGACCGGAAAUUGAAGCAAAUAAAAUAUAUAGUGCUCACUGUUUUUUGAAAUUGAGCAUAGGGAUAAUAUGAAAUAUACUCACGGUGUAUUGAGCAAUCCUCUCUGCUCAAUUUUAGGCAUAUGGGUGGUAUAAUCCCCACCUAAGGAUUUUCCUUAAAUUCGUGAUGGUUCAAGUUGGUCAGGUAUAAAGAUAAAAAUUAUAAUAAAAAGAACAGGAAUGUGGCAAUAAAAUAUUUGAGGCCAAAAUUCCUUUAUUAUUACAAUAUAAAAUAGAUUAAAAUAGAUUCUAAACGCGUUUCGCCCACAACAGGCUUCUUCAAGUAGAAUAUAGUAAAUACAAUAACCUGACUGGCAGUGCUUUAUAUAGAGUUUGAUAAAUGUGCUGGAAUUUGAAUAUUCCCGCCAAAAUGACAUCAUCACAAAAUAAAAUUUAUAAAAUACAGAUCAAAACAAAGUAACAAUGGUAACAUUGACAUUAUGUUUACAUAUGGAUACAGUUUAUAUAUAUAUAUAUAUAUUAUUUAAAAACAAGAUAAAAUAAGUAAUACUGAAUAGAAAUCACGUGACGCGCGGCGUGGGAUUACUUACGCGUCACGUGGUUUCUAAGCCCAAUGGUAUUAUAAAGUAGUUAUGGUAUUAUAAAGUGGUUAUGGUAUUAUGAAGUAGUUAUGGUAUUAUGAAGUGGUUAUGGUAUUAUAAAGUGGUUAUGAUAUUUUGAAGUGGUUAUGGUAUUAUGAAGNNNNNNNNNNNNNNNNNNNNNNNNNNNNNNNNNNNNNNNNNNNNNNNNNNNNNNNNNNNNNNNNNNNNNNNNNNNNNNNNNNNNNNNNNNNNNNNNNNNNUGGUUAUGGUAUUUUGAAGUAGUUAUGGUACAGGUUUUUUAAAAUCACAGGUCAAUUAGUAACAGUUAUGGUGUUACACGUAUAACAUGAACCAACAGUUUUUUAGUAGUUAUAUACAAUACACAAUGUCAGUAAUUAUAAUACAUGUUAUUUCCAAUAAGCAGUGCGCCAUUUCUUCUUCCUUCCAGAGGGAAGGGGCAGUUUCCAUACAACCAAACCAAUUCCAAAUACAAACCCCUUGUGGGCCUACCGCUCUAACGGUAUUAAUCUUACCUCUUCGUUCCUGGACCUGGGUUCACACGCAUCGACGGAACACCCCGGUACUCACUGUGCAGAAGCUGAUGAUCUCCUGGACAAAAGGCCAGUGGCGCCGAGAUGAAAGGAGGUCCACGCAGUAGAAGUUAAGGGGUGCUGCGUAGAGGAUUAGGUAAAAGUUUACCGUCUCAAAUCUCUGCGCCAGCUUCCAUGCGAUGAGGUUCCCGGACCAAAUGCACCAGAAAUGUAACCGUGUAAGCAUGCCGAAGCCAAACACAGAGAGAUGGACACAGGUAUUCAGGAAGUAAGAGGCCUUUAUUCACAUUACCGAUCGGGUCUCAGAUGAACUCCUGUUCCAAAAAGAUCUGAGGGACAAAUACAUGGUGUACAGAAUUUUUGUUAACAGCAUAUCCCCUCCCAUACAGUAUAACCCCUCCUAUAUUCCUCAGACCAAUCAGCACACAGGAUAUUCAGGAUCACCUUAUAUGGCAGACCACAUGGCUUGUUGAAGACAAAGGAUUUUACUAUCCACUUCCACACAUGCUCAGUACACUGAUGACUCAUCCAACUGUUUGUAAUCAGAUACUAAUUAGCAUAUGCCAUGUGGAGAUUUUGGCCUACUAAAUUUUGACCAUGCUGGAAUCCCAUCACACAUGUACAAGUCUUUUCUGUUUUUGGGGGAAGUCACAAGUACAAAAAUAUUAGAUGUCCUUUUCAAAGUUGGAGAUUUGACAAAGUGAUUUUCUGGGCCUAUGUGGCUUUACAGAGAGUAUGGCAGCCUGGGCAAUAACAUUUCCACCGUUAUGGCAUACCAUUUUCAAAAGUAGGCAACCCAGAGUAUAACAAAUGGCAUAAUUUGAGAUCUUUGGUCUAGCCAUUUUAACAGAAAUGCUGGGCCCAUGUAGCGAUUUCUAAUUUUAUUUUUGUCUUUUUAAUCAGAUAAGUUGCAUUUUCACUGGAAAUGUCAUAAUCCUGAUAUUAGUUAGUGCAAUAGAGACUUGGUAUUUUGAUUUAACACUGUCUUCUGAAUAUAACCGUACCCCUACGUAACAUUAUUUCAGAUUUUUCUGAUAAGUCACAGGGCGAAAUAUAUUAGAUGCCCUUUCAGCUUAUAAGUUUGUCAAAAUGAUUUUCUGGGCCUAUGUGGCUUUUCAGAGAGUAUGGCAGCCUGGGUAAUAACAUUUCUACCGUUAUGGCAUACCAUUUUCAAAAGUAGGCAACCCAGAGUAUAACAAAUGGCAGACCUUGAGAUGUUUGGUCUAGCCAUUUUAACAGAAAUGCUGGGCCCAUGUAGCGAUUUCUACUUUUAUGUUUGUCUUUUUAAUCAGAUAAAUUAAAUUUUCGCUGGAAAUUUCAUAAUCCUGAUAUUUGUUAGUGCAAUAGAGAAAAUUUUGAUUUAACACUGUCUUUUGGAUAUAACAGUACCCACAUGUACCAUGUUUCCAGGUUUUUAUUAUAUCACAUGAAUAGAACAGUACCCCCACAUACACUUUGAUCUGAAGGCAGAGGGAUCUUUGAUAUCAUAUAGAGUGUUACUGUGUGAAAAGUUUGAGAAGUUAAAAAAAAACUUUUUUGUAACCCUUUCAGUGCUAAUCACAGCAUUAACCCUGUGAUUAGUUUUUUAUUGGGAAGUCACAUUUCAAGUACUACAAAUGUAGUAUUUUGAGUUGUUUGGUGUAGCCAUUUUAGAAUGGUUAGCGUAAACAGGGACAGGGGAAUCCAGAAGUCAGAGUAGUCGGUAAAACAAUGGGUCGGCACAGGAAGCUUACAAAGCGUAGUCAGGACAAGCCGAGGUCAGAAAUCCAGGGAAAUCAAGCAAACUGCCAAAGUCCCAUACAGAGUGAUUCAGAAGUUCAGCUCUGUAUGGUAUACUUUGAAACAGUCUGUUAUGCAGAGGGCGGGUAGAGAUGGGCAGGUUGGGCAAUAAUAACUGGACUCCUUUCUUGUAGCAAAUACGGCACUUUCUUUGGGGAACCUUUUUACUAGGGGUGGGUGGGAUUCGGGAAGGAAAGUGUUUGCCACAAAGUCUUUGGAGAUCUCCUGAUUCCAAAGUGGGAUUGGGGGGCUGGGUAAAUAACAUACGGGACAAAAGGCUAAAUGUGAAUUCGAGGAAAGGGCAGGGCCUACCUAUGACCUAUUUUGUAUAGAGGACAUAGGCAUUGAAAAUUGCAAUCUGGCUCACGUAGAUUGCAAUUUUCUUGUACCAGGUCCUAGUUUUUCGGUUCACCAGAUAGGGCUGUAUGCAUUGGUCAGCCAAGUCUACUCCCCCCAUAAACAUCCUGUAGUCUACAAUGCACUUCGGCUUUUCCAGAUGCUCAGUGCUACCUCUCACAGACACUGGCACUGUACUUUUGUCGUGCAUCGUAGACAGCAUGUAUACAUCCUUCCUAUCUCUGAAGCGAAGAGCAAGCAACUCAUCCUGGCGGAGAGCUGAAGAGGAACCUCUAUUGCAUCUGCCUCUUGCCAGGGCUUGGGGGAACCCCUGUGAUUCUUUCUCACUGUGCCACAGGCUAGGGUUUCAAAGCAAUAUACAUUUUUAAAUAAUUCUAUACUGGUAUAAUAAUUUUCAACCCAUAGCCUAUAUCCCUUAUUCAACAAGGGAAGGAUUAGAUCCCAAUCUUGCCACUUGUACCCACAGAAUCAGGGCAUCCUGGUGGGUCAAGAUGGCUAUCCUUCCCCUGGUAAAUGCGAAACGCCCAUGUGUAACCAGUACAGGAUUCGCAUAAUCUAUAAAAUUUAACGCCAUAUCGGUACUGCUUAGAUGGAAUAAUUAGAUGGGGACAUAAUUUUCAGAAAAUCUGUCUGACAGGAGUUGGAUAAAGGGCCGAAUUUUAUAGAGCCUGUCAAACAGUGGGUCGUUUCUAGGGGGACACAGUGAGUUAUCAUUAAAAUGAAGGAAUCGCAGCAGUUGCAGUUAGCGAUCCCUCAACAUAACCUCAGGGAAAAGAGGGGUAGCCAGGAUGCGUUGCUUGCUCCAGUAGGACCUGGUACUGGGCUUUUUAACUAUACCCAUCAUUAGGGUUAAAGCCCAAAACCGCUUCAUCUCUGCGACAUGCGUGGGUCUCCACAUAUUCCUACGACCAUGAUGGGACCCCGGAUGUGCAGAGAGAUACUGCAUGGCAAACAAAUUUGUUUGCUGAGCCAUGAGCUCAAAUAUAUCGUCUGACAUAAAGAGCUCAAAAAAACGAAUUGGCUCGCAGUUGUCCACUGUUACAGUGAUACCAGGUGUAACAGUGAACGGCAGUAUUUCUGGGGCCAUCAUGUUUGGAGGCACCCAGUCUCAGUCUGGCAUUGGGCUUGCUGAGCGUCCUCUUGUGAGUGGUGGUGGGGCACCAUCACUUGAGGUCUCACUCAGAGGCUCAAUGUCAGAGGCAGUGAUAGUGUCACUGUCUUGCAGAGUGUCACUAUCACUGCCUGCCAGAAUGGCAUACGUCUCCUCGGCUGAGUAGCGACGUGCCAUUCUAGGGGAACAAAUGAAUGAAUUUAUAUACUAAGGGGGUAAUUAAUUAUCUACCUGCCUAACACCUACUACCCGCCCUCAAAAAAAUAAUAUAAAUGUACUGAUCACAGUAUAGGCAGCUGCAAUUAGUACUGAAAGGGUUAUUUUUAGAUCUAUAAAAAUAACCCUAAAAAAAGGUCAGUCUGAUCAUAGAGCCCUCUGACCACAGUGAUCACUGAUACAGUACUGUACAGCAGAUAUACUGUUCAGUAUAGUGAUCACGGCAGCGGGGAAAGCGACUGACACAAAGGGUAAAAAAUAAAUAAAUUAGAAAUAAUUUUUUUGGCCCCCAAAAAAUAAAUAAAAAUAGUACAAAAGUACUAAAUGCCCUAAUCAGGCUGAUGGCAGUUAAAUGCUCUGAUCAGCACUGAAAGGGUUCAAUAAAAUAAUUUUUUUAAAACUUUUAUAAAUUAUUAAAAGUUUUUUCUUCACAGGAUCAGCUCAACAACGGUCUCUCUGCCUCUCUCUCUCAGAUCGAAGUGAGGUGAGGAGAGGGGCAGAGACAAUGUGUCAGCCAGUGAUUUGAGAUCCUUGACUGACACAUACUAACAGUGAUCACAGUGACUGGCUGUCAUUGUGAUCACCUCCUACAGAUCGCGGUAAUUGGCCACAGGGGGAGUGCCUGGGUGGUACAUGCAUGCCCCCCACUGCGAUCUGUAGGAGGCUAAUGGCUGCAGUUACAUGUGUCAGCCAAUAGGCUGACACAUAGUAACACUGAUCACACUGACAGGCUAUGGCAGCCUGUCAGUGUGAUCAGAAUGCAGCCUGACAGUGCAGAUCGCGGUCACUGACCGCAGGGGUACAGCCUGGGGGGCCAGGCAUGUCCCCCGACCGCGAUCUGCUGCAGGAGAAUGCGGCCGGCUCCAUGUGUCAGCCGAUUUCAAAUCGGCUGACACAUGGUAAAUACCGAUCGCAGUGGCAGCCUGUCACUGCAAUCGGAAGCUGCAGACUGCGUUCCCCAGGCACAGGGGGGGUGCCUGGAUGGCCAGGCAUGCCCCCGACCGCGAUCUGCAGCCGGCCACUUGGGGGGUAAGACCGCCCAGGGCGUUCUAUGCUGCCCUGCGGCGUUUAGAGCUUAAGGACGGAGUCAAUAGUACACGUUCUGAUCAAAACAAAAUGUAAACAAAACCUGGAAUUUUCGCUAUAUGUCUGUUCAACCGUAAUUCACCUCUUUCAUAUUAAGUGCACCCACACUUAUUAUAUAUCAGUUUGUUCAGGAGAAACAGGGCUUUCAUUUCAUAUCAUAUAUUUAUAUAUGAAACAUAAUUUAUUAUGAAUAAAAUAAAAAAAAACGGUGAGAGAUUUACAUAAAAAAAAAAAAAAAUUUGUAGUUCUGCCUCACAUUUUAGUACAACAGUAGCCCCCAUUAAGAAUUUUUUUACUGUGUUUUGGAAAGUUAAAGGGUCAAAUAUAGCACAUUCCAUUUUUCAGUUUUUUUCAAAUUGAAAUUUGCCAGAUUAGUAAUGUUACCUUUGAGACCCUGUGGUAGCCCAGGAAUGAGAUUUACCCCCAUGAUGGCAUACCAUUUGCAAAAGUAGACUACCCAGGGUAUUGCAAGUGGGGUAUAUCCAGUCUUUUGUAGUAGCAACUUAGUCACAAACACUGGCCAAAGUUAGCAUUCAUAUUUGUUUUUGUGUAAAAAAAAAACUAAUAUUUGGCCAGUGUUUGUUACUAAGUUGCUACUACAAAAGACUGGAUAUACCCCACUUGCAAUACCCUGGGUAGUCUACUGUGGCUAGUAAAAAUGACUGGACAAACUCCAUUUGCAAUACCUUGGGUUGUCUACUCUUGCAAAUGGUAUGCCACAAUGGGGGUAAUUCUUAUUCCUGGGCUACCAUACGCAGGGCCUCCACCAGAAAUUUUGGGGCCCCUAACUCAGCUCAGGGCCUCCAAAUACCGCCCACCGGGUCUGCCUCCAAAUACCGCCCACAGGAAUACACACACAGACACAAACACACACACUGAUACAAAAGGACACAGAUACAUACUAACAGACAUACAUACUGAAACAGACAUACACGCAUACAGGCAUACAUACUGACAUACACACAGGCAUACAUAUUGACAGACAGACACAUACUAACAAACAUACAGACACAGAUGCAUGAGGACAUAAAGACACAUACAUACAUACAUACACACAUACAUUCAUACAUACACACAUACUGACAGACAUACAGACACUGACAUCCAUACACACUUACAUUCAUAAUGGCAUACAGACAUACAUUCAUAAUGGCAUACAGACAUACAUUCAGACUGACAUACAUGCAUAUAUACAGACAUACUGACAGACAUACGUGCAUACACACAGACAUACGAUCAUAAUGAUAUGCAGACAUACAUUCAUACUGACAUACAGACAUACAUAUAUACAUAUAUAAUGACAUAUAUACAUACAUAGACAUACAUACAGACAUCCAUACAUCCAUAGACAUACAUACACAUACAUACAGACAUACAUACAUGCAUGCAUACAGUCAGACAUACAUACACACAGACAUGCAUGCAUCCAGACAUAAAUACAUACAUACAUACAUAGACCUACAUACAGACAUACACAUACAUGCAUGCAUACAGACAGACAUACAUGCAUACAGACACACACACACACAGCUCAUUUUCCAGCCACCCACCUUUUAUUUGCAGGAGGGUGGCUGGGGAUGAUGGGAGUCGGCGCGGCUCCCUCUUCACUGCCUGGCUCUCCCUCUUCACUGGCGCGCGUGCUCUACCCGCGCGGAGUGAGCAGCCGGGCCGCUGGGCCUGUGUCAACCGUUAUGGUUGUCACCCCCUAAUGGCGGCCCUACACCAUACGGUCUCAAAAUGCAAAUUUCAAUGUGAAAAAAAUGCCCCAAAUUGCACAGCAUUUAUAAAGAGGCAAAAUUAUAUUCUUGUCCCGAGAAUGAAUGCCUUUUUUCAUGCAUGACAAUACCUUACUGGCCUUGGCCACUGCUGAUUGACAUUGCACAUUGUUGCAUAGUUUGUUGUCUAUAACAAUUCCCAAGUCCUUUUCAUGUGUUGUUAUCCCUAAUUCGCUUCCAUUAAGGGUAUACGUUGCUUGUGUAUUCUUUACGCCGAAGUGCAUAACUUUGCAUUUUUCAACAGGGUUAAAUAUAGUGCUUGCCAUUCAAAUUCUCUGCACUUUCUGCCUGGGUUGUCAGGCAUGUCAAUCAAAGUUUAAUUAAAUCACAUAAUUAUGUUCAAAUAUUACUUAAAUAUACACAUAGAAUUGUAAUAUAUAUACAUAUAUAUGUAUUUAAAGUCUACGUGUACAUAUAUAUAUAUACAGAUAAAUAUAUACAAUGACAUAAAUAACUACAUAUUUGCGGUUAUUUGUAUUUUGUAUAAAUAAUGUCAUUCUAAGUGCAUUUUGUUUUUAUAUAUAUAUAUAUAUAUAUAUAUAUAUAUAUAUAUAUAUAUAUAUAUAAAUAACAAAAUACAGUUAGAAUGAAAUUACAUAUGUAUAUAAUUUUUUUUAUAUUUUAUUAUAUUUAUUUAAAAUUGUAUUUAUACGUGUAUAUAUAUAUGAAUAUAAAAUAUAUAUAGAUGUAUUAUAUUUAUAUAAUAUAUAUAUCUUAUAUAUGUAACGUCAUUCUGUACGACGUCAAGUGUAUUUUAAUACUAAUAUAUGUACUUAUAUUAACGUUAAAAUACACUAUGUAUGACGUUACAUAUAUAUGGUGUGUGUGUAUAUAUAUAUAUACAUACAUGCAUAUAGACAUACAGACAUACACAUACAUACUUGCAUACAGACACACACACACAGCUCAUUUUCCAGCCACCCUCCUGUCUCUUACCUUUUCUUUGCAGGAGGGUGGCUGGGGAUGAUGGGAGUCGGCGCGGCUAUAAAUACUUGUAAUUUAUUUUAAACAUGUUUAAUUUAUUUUUAUACUUCCCACCAGCAGGGGGACUGUCUGACAUUUCAGACAGUCUUCCUGCUGGCAGAUCUAUAGGGGGCCAUAUUUGCCAUGGGAGGGUUGCCUGGGUUGUCAGGCAGUCUUCCCGAAGAGGAUCGUGGCUGAGGUAAGUACCGCCGAGCUCUUGGUGCAGAAAUCCGUUACGACGUUCUAUGCCGCCGCCACGGCUUUAAAGCCCAUUUAAAUGGGGACGGCAUAGAACGCCGUAACGCCAUAAAACGGUGUUAAGGGGUUAUUUCAAACUGGACUUUGUUUUCUAACUAUUCCUAAUUUUCAUUGGAUCUAGCCUGCUUGGACUUUACUAACCAUCCUAUCAAUUGCAACUCUGCUGGAAAACCAUGAUCCACAUAUCUGGUAAUGUGGUAUUCUACUCGGGUCAGGUAUGAAACAAGGUAUCGAAACACUCCAAAUACAGGUCGUUGAAGAACAAAGGCUAUUUAUUAUUUUGCAGCUGCAAAGUCCCAGCAACUUUAUCAUAAACACGCUGUACUGGGCACUGGUCAGUUUCCAGACAAAGAAUAUAUGCUAUAAAUGACGUAUUCCAUAAGAAUUUACACCAUACAGAAAUUACACCUACAUUACUAUGGUUCCAUCCAAUUAUUAAACUAAAACUUAUCUCUUACACAUGUUAUCUAAUAGUGGGCAUUCCUGACAUUCCACACAUGCACCCUGGUCCAAGAUAGUUGCACAGUAGUUUUAACAUGUGAGUACAACAUCCUAUAGCUUCUACCACAGUAAACAUCUGUACAAAUCCUCCAAACUAAAGGGACUGUUCUCCUUAACUUUUAACCAACCUGAAUUCAAUUAUUCCUUUAUUAUGCUGUCUAUUAUUGUCUGAUAUUAUGUUAACUUAUUUCACUGAUAGGAGUCCCUUUCCUGUAAACUUGCUUUGGGGUAUAUUGCCUAAACUUCUAUUUCUAUUCAUCCAGCACUCACAAGCAACCAAGUCCUGCAGAAUCUUCUUAGCAGAGACUGGGCCCCUUAAAACUGCAUUAACACCCAGCACUCACAAGUCAUCCAGAAUCUUCUUAGCACAGGUAUCAUCUCUGGAAGAUUGCCCACCCCAUGGUCAUCACCUUACUUAUAGAUAGUGCAGAUCAGCUGGUUUUCAAAACACACCAAAAAGUCACUAAACCUCUCCUCAUCUGAAUUCCUCUGUUAACAUACUGCAUCCUUAACAAUGGUUUAAACACUCAUUGAUAUAUAUGUGUGUGUGUAUAUAUAUCUAUGAUUUAUAUAUGUGCAUAUUUAUAACCCGCUUAUCUAAAUAAUACACAUUUUCUCUAAUGUUCUCCCUUCUGUUUUUCACUUUAACACUAACUUCUCUCAUUACUAAAAUAUUCCUAUCCCUCUGCUCACCUGUCCCUGGCAACACCAUCUUCAUUACUUCCACCUUACUACCCUCCCCUCUCUAUUCAUCCCAUGCACUCUACAUAUACAUUUCCAGCUUAUCUCCACCAACUCCUCCCAAAUCCNNNNNNNNNNNNNNNNNNNNNNNNNNNNNNNNNNNNNNNNNNNNNNNNNNNNNNNNNNNNNNNNNNNNNNNNNNNNNNNNNNNNNNNNNNNNNNNNNNNNUCUACAUACAUGCCCUCCUACAAAACUUUCAAAUCCUACUCCCACCUCCACUUUCUUUCUAUCCUUCUGCUCCUAGCAGCUGGUGAUGUCUCUCCAAACCCCGGUCCCAUCUCAGCAAACUCACCACAAACUAACCCAAGGAUCCACACUAAUCUCAUACCCAUCUCAUGUUCUUCUAAAUCCUCCUUCAAUACUGCCCUCUGGAAUGCACGCUCUGUUUGCAAUAUUACAAAAUCCACUGCUAUCCAUGACUUCUUCAUCUCUCGUUCAAUAGAUUUACUAGCCUUAACAGAAACAUGGCUCUCCCCCUCUGACACUGCUACCCCUGCAUCUUUGUCCUUUGGUGGUCUUCAACUUACUCACAACCCAAAAAACUCUGAAUGUAAAGGUGGUGGUGUAGGGUUUCUCCCUCCCUUCCCUCUCUUUCCCAUCAUUUGAAAUACAUUCAAUUCGCCUUUACAAACUGUAAUGGAACCGCUGGCACCCCGACUGGGUACCUUCCGCUGACGGAUGCUCCUAGUGCUUUUCGAGGACUCCAAGCACUCUGCCGACACCAUAACCACUGCAGACCCCACAAACCGCCGCAGCUUGGUUGGGGUCUCGCCGUCUCCACCCACUCUGGACCCAGGACCAGGGUCCAGCUUCCAGUAGGUCGACCUCUCUCCGAAUUCCAGAGAGCAGAAACAGGAACAGGAACAAGCUCUUAGCAGAGCUUAGUGAUUAUACCCUGGGGAGUAUAGUGAUUAUAGCAAUCCCCAGAGUGUAGUUCUCUAAUCCCCCAAACAUGAGCCGAAACUACAUGAAGGUACAAGAUGAUCUGCCUUUUAAUGACCACACACUGGCUUUUAUGCAAGUCCCCAUGCAAGGGGAUAUCCCACAGGGUGGGACACAGUACAACAAAUCAUUUACAGGCAAACCGUAAAACACAUCCAGCCCCAACAUACAAUCCCUCCCCUCUGCCUGUGAUAUAAUUACUGAACACAAUGGGUUAAUGUAAUUUAUCACAGGCAGGAAAAAUACACUUUUUACAUAUAUACUGUAACUUUAAAAAUAUGCAUCAUAUUCACAUAAAACAUACAUAUUCAGAAUCAGCAUACUUUAAAUAUAAACAUACCCAAAAAUCAUACAAAUCCCCCCAGUAGAUUAAAAGUUAGCUGGGAGUCCUUUAUGACCGACCGCAAGCACAUUUUCAUGCCCAAAACAGUUCCAGAGAAUCAGGCUGUGCGGUUGGUCUAUUUCCCAUGUUAAAGUCAGUUCAAACAGACGAACGACAACCAUUCGAAUUGAUGAACUGUCGAAUGGCGUUCGAACUGUCGAAUGCAUUGAAGUCUGGAGAAGGUAAAACCUAAGCUGAAUUAAAGAUGGCGCCGCCAUGUGUUCGUUUGUCGAAUGGCGGCCCCCCAGCGGUCGGCAAUUUACCUACAGCAGGCUCCCAGCCUGGGAGGUAAAUUGCCUGCACACUUCCACUUCUGGGUGGUCCGCCUGUGUGGUACCUGGUUCAGUAAGCUCCAUUUACUGAACCAAGUGGGAGAAAGCCAUAGACAAAGUAUUAUAGUCAGGAACAAAGUGUUUUAACCAGGUCUGGGGACACUGGGGACACCGUCUUAAAGGGACAUUGUCACACAAAGUCUCAAUAUAUCCCUAGAUGGUUCUUAAAGGGCCAGCAUGGUCCAAUACAAGUCCAUAAACCACAAUGUAGUUCUUAAAGGGCCAGCAGCACAGUAUAAAUCCAUUAGCCCAAAUAAUGUUUGUAAAGUGCCAUACAACCCAGGGCCAUAGUCAUGAGGCAGGAGGCUGGCACUCAGGUUCCUCCAACAGCCAGGGGCAAAGGGCAACUUGUCACCUAAAAAUCUAGUGACAAAAGGCAUUUCGUCACACAAACCCUUCUCUACUAACAUUGCCGUUAUUUAUCGUCCCCCUGGUUCCCCUCUCAUCUUCCUUGACCACUUUGCUGCCUGGCUACCCUAUUUUCUGUCUUCUAAUAUUCCAUCCCUAAUUCUCGGGGACUUCAAUAUUCCCAUUAACCCACCUUUGACCUCAGCAGCCUCUAAACUACUCUCAAUAACUUCCCCCCUUUGGGCUAUCACAGUGGGCUAAUUCUCCCACCCAUGUUGCUGGCAAUACCCUUGACCUAAUAUUCUCUUAUGCAUGUACAGUAUCUAAUAUCUGCAACACUCCAUUUCCUCUCUCUGAUCACCACCUCUUAUCAUUUACUCUCAUGCACCCCCUCACGCAACAACCUCAGCCUAACCCCCAUCAACUCAGGAGGGACCUUAAUUCUAUUGACCUCCAGCAGCUGUCAGCUGAUAUUGAUUCACAACUGCUAUCCAUCCCUUCCCUCUCCUGUCCUUCACUUGCCAUCUCCACAUAUAACACUACCCUCACCUCUGCCUUGAACACUGCAUCACCGCUCCAAACAAGCACAUCAAGGAUGACACGUACUUAACCGUGGCAUACUAAAACAACACGCUACCUGCAAAGAUGCUCCCGUUGUGCUGAACGCACCCGUGUGUCUCAUUUCCUCAAUUCCAACUCUCUUCUUGACCAUCUUCAAUCUGGCUUCCGCCCUCUCCACUCUACUGAGACUGCGCUUAUCAAAGUUACUAACGACCUUAUCGCAGCUAAAUCCAAAGGCCACUACAUGUAAUUCUUCUUGACAUAUCUGCUGCCUUUGACACAGUUGAUCAUGCUCGCCUUCUUCAAACUCUUCAAUCACUCUGUCUCUGUGACUCUGUCCUCUUGUGGUUUUCCUCUUAACUCUCCCAACGCUCAUUCAGUGUCUCCUUUUCUAAUGACACCUCCUCCCCUCGUCCUGUCUCAGUUGGAGUCCCCCAAGGCUCUGUACUUGGUCCCCUUCUAUUUUCUCUUUAUACUGCCUCUCUGGGCAAACUUAUUACCUCUUUUGGUUUCCACUACCACCUGUACGCUGAUGACACCCAGAUAUAUCUAUCCUCCCCGGACCUCUCUCCUGCCGUCCUGCAACGUGUCACUGCUUGCCUUUCUUCGAUCUCUGACUGGAUGCCCUCCCGCUUUCUGAAACUCAAUCUCUCUAAAACUGAGCUCCUUGUCUUUCCUCCUUCUAUACUGAUCCUCCUCUUUCGCUCUCCCUUCAAGUUAGUGGUUCCCACAUAAGUUCAUCCUUGCAAGCGAGCUGUCUUGGUAUCAUACAUGAUUCUGGCCUCACCUUUGAGCUUCACAUUCAGUAUGUUGCCAAAUCCUGUAGAUUCCAUCUUAAAAACAUAGCCUGCAUCCGCCCCUUUCUUACGCAAGAUGCUACCAAGGAGCUUGUCCAUGCCCUAGUAAUUUCCUGAAUGGAUUAUUGUAACCCUCUCCUGAUUGGUCUUCCCAAAAGCCGUACUGCACCGCUACAGUCCAUAAUGAAUGCUGCCGCCAGACUGAUUUUCCUCUCUAGUCGGCUCUCUCACACCUCACCCCUCUGUCAGGUCUUACAUUGGCUUCCUGUAUGCUAUAGGAGUCAAUUCAAGGUACUAAUUCACACCUAUAAAGCUCUGAACAACUCUAGCCCCUCCUAUAUCUCUUCACAGAUCCAUAGGUAUGUCCCUUCUUGGUUUCUUCGCUCUGCCCGUGACCAUCUCCUGUCCGUUGUUCGCACCCGCACGGCCAACUCACGCUUACAGGACUUCUCGCGGGCGGCUCCCUUCCUAUGGAAUAGCCUGCCUACCGCCAUCACACUCUCCCCUAGUCUUGCAUUGUUUAAGAAGUGCCUUAAAACCCAUCUCUUUAGGAAAGCUUAUGGCCUCCCAGACUAACCUCUACCUCACAUACCUGUCUCUUGAGCUCUCCUAAAGGGCAGCACUCUACUCUCUCUUCCAGCACUGCUUUACUCCCACCCUAUUUGAUAUUUCUUGUCCUAUUGUGUUUUACACCCCACCUCCUAUAGAAUGUAAGCUCGUUUGAGCAGGGUCCUCUCCAACCUAUUGUGCCUGUAAGUUUUUUGUAAUAGUUAAAUCCCCUCUCAUAAUAUUGUAAAGCGCUACGGAAUCUGUUGGCUCUAUAUAAAUGGCAAUAAUAAUAAUACUACUACUCCUUCAUACUUACCUGUAAUUCUGUUUCUAGGUUCUGCUUUCUCCCUUUAUCUUUAUUAUUCUUUUUCUCUCUUUAUCCUGUUAUUCUUUUUGUUACCUUGGUCUAAACCAUGUCCACUAACUCCAAUAAACUACCUGAAGUCAACCCCGGCAUAAGUCUCCUCUCUGGCCUGCUCAGAAGCAUGACACCAGGGCUGUUUUUACAUUUCUGNNNNNNNNNNNNNNNNNNNNNNNNNNNNNNNNNNNNNNNNNNNNNNNNNNNNNNNNNNNNNNNNNNNNNNNNNNNNNNNNNNNNNNNNNNNNNNNNNNNNCCGUGUUUGUGUUUAGCUGUUAAUUUCCUCUUACUCAUUUACUGUACCCACACAUAUUAUAUACCGUUUUUCUCGCCAUUAAUUGGUCUUUCUAAAGAUACCAUUAUUUUCAUCAUAUAAUUUAUUAUAAAAAAAUUUAUAAAAUAUGAUGACAUUUUUUUUAAAAACUGCGGCGUGCGUGGGAUCUGAGCAGGGAGAGCUUACACUCGGCGCUCACUCACUGCCUGCCCAGCAAGAUCCCAGAUAAGAAACCAACCCAGUGUAUGGCUGUCUAUGUGUAUAGGUGUAUGGCUGUUCGUGUUUGGCUUUCUUUGUGUAUGGUGUAUAGGUGUUUGACUGUGUGUGUAUGUGUAUGGCUGUCUGUGUGUAUAGGUGUAUGGCUGUCUGUGUGUCUAGCUGUCUGUGUGUCUGGCUGGCUGCUCGUAUGGCUGGCUGUGUGCAUGGCUGGCUGUGUGUGUCGGUCUGUCAGUCUGUGUCUCUGUGUGUGUGUCUGUGAGGGAGCCUGUGUGUCAGUGAAUGUGUGUGUGUGUGUGUCAGGGUGAUUCUGUGUGUGUAUAUCUGACAGUGAGUGUGUCUCAGUGAGAGUGUCUCAGUGAGCGUGUGAGGGUUUAAAGGAAGGAAGGAUCCUCUUUUUUAAGGUCCGGAUGGGGCCAUUGGGGGUAUGCCAGAGGCUGGACUCCGGACACUGCUUGUUGGCUGUUUAUUUUAUUUAUUUAUUUUUAUUAAUUUUUUCUAAUUUUGGGAAAAAAAUAAAUUAAACCGAGGCAGGGGUUUAAUAGACGGGGGACUGGGAUAUAGUAGACGAGGGGGGGGGCUAGGAUUUAGUAGACGAGGAGGGGCUGGACUUUAGUAGACGAGGCUGGGCUGGGGUGAAAAUUUAGGUUUGUUUUUUUGCGGCCCACAUAAACUCAAACCUUGUUUAUUUGGCCCCUGCUAGUCUUUGAGUUUGACAUGCUUAACCUAAGGUAUUAAACUUGGGGUAUUUUGA